rnacentral:rRNA from 1 species
GAUGAACGCUGGCGGCGUGCUUAACACAUGCAAGUCGAACGAAGCACUUUAUUUGAUUUCCUUCGGGACUGAUUAUUUUGUGACUGAGUGGCGGACGGGUGAGUAACGCGUGGGUAACCUGCCUUGUACAGGGGGAUAACAGUUGGAAACGGCUGCUAAUACCGCAUAAGCGCACAGCAUCGCAUGAUGCAGUGUGAAAAACUCCGGUGGUAUAAGAUGGACCCGCGUUGGAUUAGCUAGUUGGUGAGGUAACGGCCCACCAAGGCGACGAUCCAUAGCCGACCUGAGAGGGUUACCGGCCACAUUGGGACUGAGACACGGCCCAAACUCCUACGGGAGGCAGCAGUGGGGAAUAUUGCACAAUGGGCGAAAGCCUGAUGCAGCGACGCCGCGUGAGCGAAGAAGUAUUUCGGUAUGUAAAGCUCUAUCAGCAGGGAAGAUAAUGACGGUACCUGACUAAGAAGCACCGGCUAAAUACGUG